rnacentral:rRNA from 1 species
AGACCCGAAACCCGGUGAUCUAGCCAUGGGCAGGUUGAAGGUUGGGUAACACUAACUGGAGGACCGAACCGACUAAUGUUGAAAAAUUAGCGGAUGACUUGUGGCUGGGGGUGAAAGGCCAAUCAAACCGGGAGAUAGCUGGUUCUCCCCGAAAGCUAUUUAGGUAGCGCCUCGUGAAUUCAUCUCCGGGGGUAGAGCACUGUUUCGGCAAGGGGGUCAUCCCGACUUACCAACCCGAUGCAAACUGCGAAUACCGGAGAAUGUUAUCACGGGAGACACACGGCGGGUGCUAACGUCCGUCGUGAAGAGGGAAACAACCCAGACCGCCAGCUAAGGUCCCAAAGUCAUGGUUAAGUGGGAAACGAUGUGGGAAGGCCCAGACAGCCAGGAUGUUGGCUUAGAAGCAGCCAUCAUUUAAAGAAAGCGUAAUAGCUCACUGGUCGAGUCGGCCUGCGCGGAAGAUGUAACGGGGCUAAACCAUGCACCGAAGCUGCGGCAGCGACACUGUGUGUUGUUGGGUAGGGGAGCGUUCUGUAAGCCUGUGAAGGUGUGCUGUGAGGCAUGCUGGAGGUAUCAGAAGUGCGAAUGCUGACAUAAGUAACGAUAAAGCGGGUGAAAAGCCCGCUCGCCGGAAGACCAAGGGUUCCUGUCCAACGUUAAUCGGGGCAGGGUGAGUCGACCCCUAAGGCGAGGCCGAAAGGCGUAGUCGAUGGGAAACAGGUUAAUAUUCCUGUACUUGGUGUUACUGCGAAGGGGGGACGGAGAAGGCUAUGUUGGCCGGGCGACGGUUGUCCCGGUUUAAGCGUGUAGGCUGGUUUUCCAGGCAAAUCCGGAAAAUCAAGGCUGAGGCGUGAUGACGAGGCACUACGGUGCUGAAGCAACAAAUGCCCUGCUUCCAGGAAAAGCCUCUAAGCAUCAGGUAACAUCAAAUCGUACCCCAAACCGACACAGGUGGUCAGGUAGAGAAUACCAAGGCGCUUGAGAGAACUCGGGUGAAGGAACUAGGCAAAAUGGUGCCGUAACUUCGGGAGAAGGCACGCUGAUAUGUAGGUGAAGUCCCUCGCGGAUGGAGCUGAAAUCAGUCGAAGAUACCAGCUGGCUGCAACUGUUUAUUAAAAACACAGCACUGUGCAAACACGAAAGUGGACGUAUACGGUGUGACGCCUGCCCGGUGCCGGAAGGUUAAUUGAUGGGGUCAGCGCAAGCGAAGCUCUUGAUCGAAGCCCCGGUAAACGGCGGCCGUAACUAUAACGGUCCUAAGGUAGCGAAAUUCCUUGUCGGGUAAGUUCCGACCUGCACGAAUGGCGUAAUGAUGGCCAGGCUGUCUCCACCCGAGACUCAGUGAAAUUGAACUCGCUGUGAAGAUGCAGUGUACCCGCGGCAAGACGGAAAGACCCCGUGAACCUUUACUAUAGCUUGACACUGAACAUUGAGCCUUGAUGUGUAGGAUAGGUGGGAGGCUUUGAAGUGUGGACGCCAGUCUGCAUGGAGCCGACCUUGAAAUACCACCCUUUAAUGUUUGAUGUUCUAACGUGGACCCGUGAUCCGGGUUGCGGACAGUGUCUGGUGGGUAGUUUGACUGGGGCGGUCUCCUCCUAAAGAGUAACGGAGGAGCACG